CACCUACACUCUUGGUCCGUUAUUGUAUGUUCAUGUGUGUCUAUGCACGGUCAUGGUGGUAUGCGGCUCCCUCCCGGACUCCUCGCGCUCUCCACGGCAGCAUUUACCUUCCCCAGCGCACCUCGGACUACCAACGCUUCUCCGUCGCUGCCUCCGCGCCGCGCUUCCUCCAUAACGCACCGUGGAUAUUAUUUACGGACUGGCUUUUUCCGGAUUAUCCCGAUCUCUGAUGGACGACCUUUUCAGCUUCCUGAGGGAGAGAAAUGUUCCUGAGUCCACCAUAAAUAAAAUGAUUUAUGAUAAGUUAAUGACAGAUGAGGAGCUGAGGAACUGUUUGUCUUCUCAUAGAGAGACUGGUUGGCAGCAAUGGGGUUUUGCAGGAGGCAGGAAGAUACGCCAAGCUCUAGGGCAAAAGUGUAACGCUUACAGAGCUCGGACAUACACUUCAUACGGCUCCUCGUCUUGUAUGGUGAAGUCGGUUCCAAUGAGCUGCAGUCUGCACGGGAUUUCAUGGUGUUGGAUUAUGGAAUAAUUCUCCAACCUUCCCCUCCACAGAACUUUCUUCCUCUCAAUCACUGUCCAAUUCUUGUGUGCUUUUUCACAUUAUCUAGUUUGUAGAAUAUAAACAAAUAGAACAUGCAUGCAUCUGAAAAAUAAAAUACUCUUUUUCCCACACUUUAAA